GACGUAGGGGGCCAGCGUUGCUCGGAAUUACUGGGUGUAAAGGGUUCGUAGGCGGUGUGGCAAGUCGGAUGUGAAAGCCCUCGGCUCAACCGGGGAAGUGCACCCGGAAACUGCAAAGCUAGAGUCUCGGAGAGGAUCGUGGAAUUCUCGGUGUGAGAGGUGAAAUUCGUAGAUAUCGAGAGGAACACCGGUGGCGAAGGCGGUUCUCUGGGCAUUACCUGACGCUGAGGAGCGAAAGUGUGGGGAGCGAACAGG
rnacentral:rRNA from 1 species